rnacentral:rRNA from 1 species
GACAGAGGGUGCAAACGUUGUUCGGAAUUACUGGGCGUAAAGCGCGUGUAGGCGGGUAUGCAAGUCGGGUGUGAAAGCCCGGAGCUCAACUCCGGAAGUGCAUUCGAUACUGCGUAGCUAGAGUACUGGAGAGGAUGGUGGAACUCUCGGUGUAGAGGUGAAAUUCGUAGAUAUCGAGAAGAACACCGGUGGCGAAGGCGGCCAUCUGGACAGAUACUGACGCUGAGACGCGAAAGCGUGGGGAGCAAACAGG